UGACAAGAACCAUGGCCCUUUCUGUAUGGCCUUCACUAAGUUCUCCUCUUUGCUAAAUUUGACAAUGAAAAAAUCUUAUCCUAAAUCAAUCAAGAUCAGCUGUUCGGAUGGACUCCAUAGGUCAACUAGCUUAGAGCGGAGAAGAUUGUGUGGCAUUUUUUCCCCAAAUAGCUUGAUAAUAACUGAGAAGCGCGAUGGUUCAUAGAGCUUGUUCUUGUCCUCUUGUGAGAGAGUUAUAGGCCCUGUUGAUUCCUUCCCUUUUUCUUGUGUGACAGUAGAUUGAGUUCCGGUUGUGAAGUACUCUGCUUGUGUAGUACUUUGUAUGUCCAAUAGCAUUUCUUUGUAUGAGUGUGUUUGGUUAGUGUGGUGGUGUCAUCCGGUGAUUCCGAUGGUAUGUUGGAUGAUUUGAGUGGUGUUUCCAUAGGGGUGGUUUCCUAGUAGUGGAUGAGAGUUUCUCUCUCUAGCAUGGCAUAUUUUUAGGGAAUUGAAAUGGG
rnacentral:lncRNA from 1 species